CACGUAGGGUGCGAGCGUUGUCCGGAAUUAUUGGGCGUAAAGAGCUCGUAGGCGGUGUGUCGCGUCGGCCGUGAAAACCUGCAGCUUAACUGUGGGCUUGCGGUCGAUACGGGCAUCACUGGAGUUCGGCAGGGGAGACUGGAAUUCCUGGUGUAGCGGUGAAAUGCGCAGAUAUCAGGAGGAACACCGGUGGCGAAGGCGGGAUCCUGGGCCAGUACUGACGCUGAGGUGCGAAAGCGUGGGGAGCAAACAGG
rnacentral:rRNA from 1 species